rnacentral:lncRNA from 1 species
GAAAGCAGAGGAGUCUAUUGGCCUUAAAAGAUCUUUUGAGGCCUUCUUCUUGAAAGCCUAUGCAUUGGCUGACUCUAGCCAGGAUCCAUCAUGUUCAUCGACUGUUGUUUCACUUCUUGAAGAUGCCUUAAAGUGCCCCUCAGAUAGGCUUCGCAAAGGUCAGGUAUGGUUUUUCUGUCACCUGACAAUUCCAUGAUAACUUCUCUUAUAUUUGCUACAGAUUUUUGGUCAAAGCCUUGUAGCCUAAUUACUAGAGGUCAGAUGCACUAAUAUUUUUCACCUUUCAGCUAUAUCGACUGUCACGUCUUUUAGUUAAAUCACAGUACACAUUUCUUUUCCCCACCAUCUCAACCUUCACAACUAUUCAACAUGAAAUUGUCAAGUUACCAACUUUCCUAAAGGUCUAACCUGUUAAGAUAUAGGCCCAUGAUAUAUAUUAUGCAAACAGAAAUGCUAGUGAAUUCAUUAGUUAUUCAUAUUAAAGAAAUUGGAUAAGUCCAGCAUGUUCUUGUAGCUGAUAGACACACAAGCUGGCAUCUUGGGUUGUUUAUUUUAAAUCUUAGCAGUUUUUCCCCUACAAAACAAGAACUAUGUGCAAGCUCAAAGCAAUAAGAGAAAUUCACAUGGGAGUGUGAGAACAGGAGAAAAACGAGGGCAAGUAAAAGAAUAAGUUUCAAACUGGCCACGGUUAUUGAUCUCCAAACAGAUUUGACUGAGGUGAUACCCAAUUUCUGAAAAAUGUUAAAAUAUGGACCUUGAGAAGUCACCACAUGUUUGGACCCUGGAUAACAUUGUUGAUGAGGAAAAUCGGUUACCAUCUUGAUUAUCGUAACAUCUAGAAGACAUUGCCAUGGUUACUCUUAUCAGAUGUCAUGUUGUCCGGUUGCUGCCAAGCAGAGAACUCAGGAUAAUAUUUUGUAUUGAUAGUAGUAUCAUUUUUAUGAUAGAAAUACAGUUCAGACUCUGUUAACAGGGUGGCAUUUACUAGCAUAUCCCCACCUUUAACUGAUCAUAAUGUAGGUUAAUGAGCUGGGGCCUUAAUUUUUCCUUGUUAUAUAAAGAAUUUGCUACUGUGAACAUGUAUUUAUCCAUCUCAGUAAAGUAAAAAUGCAGUUUCUAAGUUGUAGACGAUAAUGAAAUGGUGCGGAAUUCUGGAUUAAUGAAUUUGUGAGCCAUGAUAUUUCUGUUUCAUUCUAUAUGUUAUUUGAUAUGUUAAAAAAAUAGUCGUAGAAGUUGUUGGAUUUUUAACAUUUCCUAAUCACCCGUCUCCAUUUGCCAGGCCCUUAACAACCUUGGCAGCGUGUACGUUGACUGUGGGAAAUUAGAGUUGGCUGCUGAUUGCUACAUCAAUGCCCUCAAAAUCCGGCACACCCGAGCCCACCAGGGCCUUGCUAGGGUUCAUUUCCUCAAAAAUGAUAAGACUGCUGCAUACGUUGAAAUGACCAAACUGAUUGAGAAGGCCAGGAACAAUGCUUCUGCCUAUGAGAAAAGGUCCGAGUACUGUGAACGUGAACUCACAAAGGCAGAUCUGGAGAUGGUCACUAGAUUAGACCCGCUUCGGGUUUACCCUUACAGAUAUCGAGCUGCAGGUCAGAUUAUUUUCCUCCUCACUUGCCUUGUGUACAGUUCCAACCGUCCAAAUGCCUGUAGCAUACAGACCCCUCCAACUCACCCAUUGAUUUCUGCUUUGCACAUUAUUCUAUCUCAGAAUCAACCAUGAUCCUGACCUUUCCUUCAAGAGGAGCACCCACAUCUUCUCUUGAUUAUGAGAGAUAAUGGGUCUGUUGGGGAACAUUUUUGAAAACAGAUCUCAGAAAAAAUAAUUUUUGAUAACAGUUCUUAAAAACAAUUCUCAAUUUGUUUUCAAAAACAAAAUUGUGUUUGGGAAUUGACAUAUGAAAAGAAGUUUUCUCAGUUUAUUCGUUAUGAAAAUACUAUACACUUAUGUACAAUACAUCUUUUUAAUUGUUACUCAAAACACAACACAAAAAAACUGUUUUCUAUUGAAAGUUUGUCAAACAUUUUCUGUUAUGAAAAAAUGAAAAAUAGAAAACUGAUUUGGUUCCUAACAAGCCCAAAAUCAGUAAGGUAGAUUGUGUGUGUGUGUGUGUGUGUGUGUGUUUUUUUUUUCCAAGAUUCGAGUGGAUAACGAGGCUGUAACAUGGUAUGUGGAUUGGUGGGGCAGUUUUGAUGGACAGCCACAAAGAGAAGGAAGCAAUAGCAGAACUGUCAAGAGCAAUAGCAUUCAAGGCAGACCUUCACCUUCUACACCUGAGGGCAGCCUUUCAUGAGCACAUUGGAGAUGUGUUGGGCGCACUGCGAGACUGUAGAGCUGCCCUCUCUGUGGAUCCUAACCAUCAAGAGAUGUUGGAGCUUCAUAGCCGUGUCAACAGCCAUGAACC